rnacentral:lncRNA from 1 species
UUAAUUUCUAUAAACUAAAAUCCAAAACUCAAAAGUUAGAAUCUAUAACUUACAAAUGGGUGUUGGCAGCAACCAUCAAAAUCCUCAAAAUCCAACGACCAAAACCUGAAUUAUUUGCCUCCUUAAUGUCACUGCAGAACCAUCCAACCCACCGCCGAUUUAGUUGUAUCAUUCAUUGUACGAAUAAUCAAUCAACUCAGCAAUCUUAGGCAAAAGCAUUGCCAUAGCACUACCGAGAGCUUCGUCUCAAUUCUUCUUCUUCGGCAAUCAAAAGCCUCAUUGAUCUUUCAUCUUAUCGCAACCAUUCAGCAGUCAAGACCCAUACUUCUUUUGCUCUUUUCCAGUAGAGAAUGACCACGCCGUGGCUGCGACAGUUGUGGAGUUCCAAGUCAUUGAGGACAUCAUCUUACAACAGCUCUUUGACACCACAACUACCCAUGAUUGUUUAUAAGGUUUGGGAUUGUUGUUUCAAAUUUUUGUUUUGAUCGUUUAAUUGAGCUACUAUUACUAGAAAAUUAGGAAACACUGUAAUUUGAUAUUUGGGAUUACUUAAUUUUUAAAUUAUGAAUAAUCUUUAAUCUUGAAUUAACCAUAUUAUUAAUGAUAGAUUGAAUUUACUUUAUUAUUGUUUAUUAUUUUUAGUUUGGUGAAUAAGCAAAUGAUUUGAAGAAUUUUGGGUUGUGUGGGAUGACUCUGGUUUUUUGUGAGACGGGUUUUGAAGUUUUAGAUUAAGUUUGUGGUAGCAUUUUUCUUUUGUUCUUUGAUUUUUUUUAUAUCUAUAUAUUUUUUUAAAUACCUUUGCUAAAGGAAAAAAAGAAUAAUAAUGAUUAUAAUGAUAAACAUAAAAAAAAUGUAAAAUAUUAUUUUUUUUCCAUUUAUAACUUUAAUUAAUUUCUUUAUUUAUUUUUUAAAAUAAAAUUUUCAAAUACAAAAAAUUAAAAUUUAAUCAGCUCGACAAAAUUAGACAUAUAGUGCAAAAUGAAAAUGUUUUAAAAUAUUAGGGAUGCAUAUCAUAAAUAUUUAAAAUAUUUGUGUGUGUUCUGAAAAACUUAUUGACUGUUAAGGGAAUGCACAAAUAUUGUUUUACCUUUUUAACCGUUAAAAGUAAUAGACAGAUAAUAUUUUUUUAGGAGUAGCUUAAUAUUUUUAAUUAUAAGAGGGUCAAUUUAAAAAUUGUUACUUCACGAAGGGAAUAGGCCAAAAUUUACCCUUAGUUUUAAUUAUCACCCUCCUUAAAUUUACUGUUUUUAAUUAGAAGACCCUAUAUUGUUUUAUUAUUUUUUCAUUAUGGUCCACCGACCAGUAAAGUCUGGGACUGGGUUAUCAGCCGAUGUCAUUCACAUCCUGUCAAAAGUAUGAAAGGAAAACCACUUUUAAAAUUAAUUUUCACGAUUAUAUAAACACAAGAUAUACAAUAAGGUGGUACAUAUUGGGUCUAACUGAACAUGAAUGCCCCUGUGGACAAAAAAAGGGUGCAGUAAAAUGGUACGGUGAGUUAUGGUAAUGUGCUCGCAAUAAUGGAAAAAUUCGCAAAAAAGGUGGCUGUCCAAUUGUGAGGGGCUUCGCAGGC